rnacentral:misc_RNA from 1 species
AACGGCAUCGCCGGAGCUGAUAUUCACCGCGUGAGUCUUCGCCUGGGCAUACCCACGAGCAAAUCGGAAAAGCCCGCCGCCGCCGACCACUGGCAUCUCUCUGACGGCGGACAUGACCGUAUUCCGCCCCAAAAUGCUCAAAUAACUCCCAUUAUAUUUCCCUUCCACAAACGCAAAGUUCAUUACCAUUAAAAACCCAAUUUCCG